rnacentral:lncRNA from 1 species
CAGUGGUGUAAAUAUAUUUACCAACGUGCAUCUACUGCUAGUGGUGUGUGACUGUAGGUUUAGAAGUGAUGCAAGACAUCAGGGUUGCUGUGCUAAACGCUCUGCAGGGGUUCAGACACCAUCCUCACCCAGAAGAGCUUACAGUUUAAAAUACAGAUGUCUCAGACCUGAUGGAAAGGGAAGCAGACGUUUAAGAGAAGCAAUUUAUGCAAGCCGCAGACUGCCAGCAGCAGCAGUGAAAAGCGGAGCGUUCCCAGAGGCUGAGCCCCAUGGUGCAAGCUGUGACUUUCAGUCCCAGGAGGUUCCAUUUUCAUAAGAUUGAAAAGAUCUGAAAAUGAGUGAAAUUGCAGGUUCUCCACAGGCACUUCAGUCUACUCCACUGCUAAAUGUGUAUAUUAACAGCUACAACAGAGCUAGGAAAGACUACAGGCUCCCAGUGCAACCAUGAAGAAAUUGCUUCCUUGUCUCACCAGGAGAGUCGUGAUGUAUCUCAUUUGUUGCUGCUGCGUGGUGCUUUAAAGGCGUCUGUGUUGAAUCAUUCAUUGGUGCAGCCGUUUGCACAGGGCUUAGUGAAUGGAGCAGUGAGCUAAUGAAUGAACAUUCCUACUUGAAGCAGACAUAUACAUCUUUCAAGUUGGAUUCCUUCAUCUCGGUGGCACACCUCA